rnacentral:rRNA from 1 species
AUUGAACGCUGGCGGAAUGCUUUACACAUGCAAGUCGAACGGCAGCACGGACUUCGGUCUGGUGGCGAGUGGCGAACGGGUGAGUAAUGUAUCGGAACGUGCCCAGUCGUGGGGGAUAACGUAGUGAAAAUUACGCUAAUACCGCAUACGAUCUAUGGAUGAAAGCGGGGGAUCGCAAGACCUCGCGCGAUUGGAGCGGCCGAUAUCAGAUUAGGUAGUUGGUGGGGUAAAGGCCCACCAAGCCAACGAUCUGGAGCUGGUCUGAGAGGACGACCAGCCACACUGGAAGUGAGACACGGUCCAGACUCCUACGGGAGGCAGCAGUGGGGAAUUUUGGACAAUGGGCGAAAGCCUGAUCCAGCCAUUCCGCGUGCAGGAUGAAGGCCCUCGGGUUGUAAACUGCUUUUGUACAGAACGAAAAGGUUUCUACUAAUACUAGGAGCUCAUGACGGUACUGUAAGAAUAAGCACCGGCUAACUACGUGCCAGCCGCCGCGGUAA